rnacentral:rRNA from 1 species
GACGAACGCUGGCGGCGUGCUUAACACAUGCAAGUCGAACGAUGAACCCGGAGCUUGCUCCGGUGGAUUAGUGGCGAACGGGUGAGUAACACGUGGGCAACCUGCCCCUGACUUCGGGAUAACUCCUCGAAAGAGGUGCUAAUACCGGAUACGAAUCCUGCAGGCAUCUGCGGGAUUGGAAAGUUUUUCGGUCAGGGAUGGGCCCGCGGCCUAUCAGCUUGUUGGUGAGGUAGUGGCUCACCAAGGCGACGACGGGUAGCCGGCCUGAGAGGGCGACCGGCCACACUGGGGCUGAGACACGGCCCAGACUCCUACGGGAGGCAGCGGUGGGGAAUAUUGCGCAAUGGGCGAAAGCCUGACGCAGCAACGCCGCGUGAGGGAUGACGGCCUUCGGGUUGUAAACCUCUUUCAGCAGGGAAGAAGCGAAAGUGACGGUACCUGCAGAAGAAGCACCGGCUAACUACGUGCCAGCCGCCGCCGUAA